rnacentral:rRNA from 1 species
GACGAACGCUGGCGGCGUGCCUAAUACAUGCAAGUUGAGCGCUGAAGGUUGGUACUUGUACCAACUGGAUGAGCAGCGCACGGGUGAGUAACGCGUGGGGAAUCUGCCUUUGAGCGGGGGACAACAUUUGGAAACGAAUGCUAAUACCGCAUAAAAACUUUAAACACAAGUUUUAAGUUUGAAAGAUGCAAUUGCAUCACUCAAAGAUGAUCCCGCGUUGUAUUAGCUAGUUGGUGAGGUAAAGGCUCACCAAGGCGAUGAUACAUAGCCGACCUGAGAGGGUGAUCGGCCACAUUGGGACUGAGACACGGCCCAAACUCCUACGGGAGGCAGCAGUAGGGAAUCUUCGGCAAUGGACGAAAGUCUGACCGAGCAACGCCGCGUGAGUUAAGAAGGGUUUCGGAUCGUAAAACUCUGUUGGUAGGGAAGAGCGUUGGUGAGAGUGGAAAGCUCAUCAAGUGACGGUAACUACCCAGAAAGGGACGGCUAACUACGUG